GAUGAACGCUGGCGGCGUGCCUAAUACAUGCAAGUCGAGCGAACAGACGAGGAGCUUGCUCCUCUGACGUUAGCGGCGGACGGGUGAGUAACACGUGGAUAACCUACCUAUAAGACUGGGAUAACUUCGGGAAACCGGAGCUAAUACCGGAUAAUAUAUUGAACCGCAUGGUUCAAUAGUGAAAGACGGUUUUGCUGUCACUUAUAGAUGGAUCCGCGCCGCAUUAGCUAGUUGGUAAGGUAACGGCUUACCAAGGCAACGAUGCGUAGCCGACCUGAGAGGGUGAUCGGCCACACUGGAACUGAGACACGGUCCAGACUCCUACGGGAGGCAGCAGUAGGGAAUCUUCCGCAAUGGGCGAAAGCCUGACGGAGCAACGCCGCGUGAGUGAUGAAGGUCCUCGGAUCGUAAAACUCUGUUAUUAGGGAAGAACAAAUGUGUAAGUAACUAGGCACGUCUUGACGGUACGUAAUCAGAAAGCCACGGCUAACUACGUG
rnacentral:rRNA from 1 species